rnacentral:rRNA from 1 species
CAAUCAAACCGGGAGAUAGCUGGUUCUCCCCGAAAGCUAUUUAGGUAGCGCCUCGUGAAUUCAUCUCCGGGGGUAGAGCACUGUUUCGGCUAGGGGGCCAUCCCGGCUUACCAACCCGAUGCAAACUGCGAAUACCGGAGAAUGUUAUCACGGGAGACACACGGCGGGUGCUAACGUCCGUCGUGAAGAGGGAAACAACCCAGACCGCCAGCUAAGGUCCCAAAGUCAUGGUUAAGUGGGAAACGAUGUGGGAAGGCCCAGACAGCCAGGAUGUUGGCUUAGAAGCAGCCAUCAUUUAAAGAAAGCGUAAUAGCUCACUGGUCGAGUCGGCCUGCGCGGAAGAUGUAACGGGGCUAAACCAUGCACCGAAGCUGCGGCAGCGAACGUAUCACCCAAGACAACUUUACGGAGUUGACGAUUGACGGAGCGAAGCGACGUCAAAGCGUUCAUUAAAGUCGAGUUGGCUUAGGGAUACGUUCGUUGGGUAGGGGAGCGUUCUGUAAGCCUGUGAAGGUGUGUCGUGAGGCAUGCUGGAGGUAUCAGAAGUG